rnacentral:rRNA from 1 species
UACGUAGGUGGCAAGCGUUGUCCGGAAUUAUUGGGCGUAAAGCGCGCGCAGGCGGUCCUUUAAGUCUGAUGUGAAAGCCCACGGCUCAACCGUGGAGGGUCAUUGGAAACUGGGGGACUUGAGUACAGAAGAGGAGAGUGGAAUUCCACGUGUAGCGGUGAAAUGCGUAGAGAUGUGGAGGAACACCAGUGGCGAAGGCGGCUCUUUGGUCUGUAACUGACGCUGAGGCGCGAAAGCGUGGGGAGCAAACAGG